GAUCCUGGCUCAGGAUGAACGCUAGCUACAGGCUUAACACAUGCAAGUCGCGGGGCAGCAUGAAGUCAGCUUGCUGACUUUGAUGGCGACCGGCGCACGGGUGAGUAACGCGUAUCCAACCUGCCUGUUACCACGGCACAGCCCGUCGAAAGGCGGAUUAAUGCCGUAUGUGGUCUUGAAAGGGCAUCUGAUCAUGACUAAAGGUUCAGCGGUAACGGAUGGGGAUGCG
rnacentral:rRNA from 1 species